rnacentral:rRNA from 1 species
AUGCCAGACUCCUACGGGAGGCAGCAGUGAGGAAUAUUGGUCAAUGGGCGGAAGCCUGAACCAGCCAAGUCGCGUGAGGGAAGAAGGCCCUGCGGGUCGCAGACCUCUUUGGACGGGGAGCAAGGCCGCCGGCGUGUCGGCGGAAGGAGAGUACCCGUAGAACAAGCAUCGGCUAACUACGUGCCAGCAGCCGCGGUAAUACGUAGGGGGCAAGCGUUAUCCGGAAUGAUUGGGCGUAAAGGGAGCGCAGACGGCAGUGCAAGUCUGGAGUGAAAGCCCGUGGCUUAACUACGGGACUGCUCUGGGAACUGUGCAGCUAGAGUGCAGGAGAGGCAGGCGGAAUUCCUAGUGUAGCGGUGAAAUGCGUAGAUAUUAGGAGGAACACCGGUGGCGAAGGCGGCCUGCUGGACUGUAACUGACGUUGAGGCUCGAAAGCGUGGGGAGCAAACAGGAUUAGAUACCCGCGUA